AUCUAAUGUAGACAUUACAACUCAGCCCUGUCUGUCUCACCCAGAAAGACUCAUCCCCCUCCCCUGCCAUUUCCACUGGAUUCUGCAUUUGUGUCCCCAUUUAGUGAGGACUAUGGAGGUGCAGACUAACAUCAUCUCCAAAAUAAACACGACUCCUAUCCAGGUGCCUUCAUCAUUGUCAACAGGCUCAUGUGUGGCCCAGGGAAGGCUUCAAUAAGUCAACAAAUCAAUACAGCAAAGGAUUCUGGGUCAGUGACACUGAGCAGAUUAUCUGAUCGUAACCUAGAGCUCCCUCUGCUGGAUCUAACUGGUAGUUGCAGCCCUGUAAACUGACCAGCACAUAUUCUGUCUGCAGACGCUGACCAGUCAUGGCAGCUAUCUCUAACAUGCACCACAAACUU
ensembl:lncRNA